ensembl:lncRNA
CCCCAUUUAAGAGCUGACUGCCACUGGAGAAGGAUCUCUUUCUCAAGAUCCCUCUUUUGUGAAGCUUUUCAUUGCAAGCUUAAAUCUCCAGAUAUGGUGGUAACAGAACAAACACAGCCAUUGGGUGCAGGUUGUGAUAAAGACCAAAUUCUGCAGAGCUUUGUACACGUGGGUCUGGAUUCUGCAAAACUACUUUGGGAAGCUUUGAAGGCAAGUGCAAAAGAACAAUACUGCUGCUCCCUAGUGCUAUGAUCUGCAAGAAAGAUGAUCAAGAACUUUUCUGUUUAACGCUGGUGGUAUAUAAUUAUGCACCAGGAAUGAAGGCCAAGAGAAACAACUUUCAUGAGGUGGGAAAUGGUUUGAAAGGUUUCAGCAACAGUCUUGAGAAUGAUCUGCAGAAGUACAGAAAGCAUUAUAAGGGAAAACAGCAGAGAAAUGCAAGAGAAGAGUGGAAAUAAAAGCCACAAAAUAGCUGUUAAGUGAGAGGAAUUUGAUCUGGU